rnacentral:rRNA from 1 species
AACGAACGCUGGCGGCAUGCCUAACACAUGCAAGUCGAACGAGACCUUCGGGUCUAGUGGCGCACGGGUGCGUAACGCGUGGGAACCUGCCCUUAGGUUCGGAAUAACUCCCCGAAAGGGGUGCUAAUACCGGAUAAUGUCUUCGGACCAAAGAUUUAUCGCCUUUGGAUGGGCCCGCGUUGGAUUAGCUAGUUGGUAGGGUAAAAGCCUACCAAGGCGACGAUCCAUAGCUGGUCUGAGAGGAUGAUCAGCCACACUGGGACUGAGACACGGCCCAAGCUUCUUACGGAAGGCAGAGGUGGGGAAUAUUGAACAUUGGGCGAAAGCUUGAUCAAGCAAUGCGGCGUGAGUAAGAAAGGCUUUGGGGUGGUAAAGCUCUUUUCCCGGGAUGAUAAUGACAGUACCGGGAGAAUAAGCUCCGGCUAACUCCGUG